GAGAUGCAUGCGCUGCAAUUCGCCCUGGCGAAUUAAGAAGAGCACGAUUGCAAUUGCGCCAAAGGUUUCGCAUGUGCAUUGAACAAGGGGGUGGCCAUUUUCAGCAACGAAUAAAAUAUAGAAAUGCUUAAUCAAGGUCUCUACUGAGGUAGUCACCGAUCAUGCAGUGAAAUAAAUCCACUGCAUUGAAACCGACAUCAGCGUGGGUGUAAUAUAGAAUUUUUUCCUCGCUUGCAAAAAUUGAAUUUCGGGCGUAAGAAAUUGGUAUUUGGUUACCACGGUUACUGCAUGCCCUUAAACUGCCUAUGAAGUUGUCGAAGCCAUUUUUUGUAUUGUUGUAAAGUAUUUACGUAGUUUUAAGUAUUGUACUUGUUUUAAGCACUCAUUUGCUUAACACUGCCGAAUAUAUUGUAAUAUUCAAAUGUAUUGUAAAAUAUAGUGUACUGUACAAUAAAUUUCUUGAAUAUUAA